UGCGGCCAUAACACGUUGAAACACUUGUUCCCUCGCGAUCGCCGAAGUUAAGCAACGUCGAGACUGGUCAGUAUUUAGAUGGGUGACCUCU